CAGGCCUAACACAUGCAAGUCGAACGGAGAUUAACGCUGAAUUGAUAAUUAGCUUGCUAAGAGGAUUUUCUUGUUAAUCUUAGUGGCGGACGGGUGAGUAACACGUGAGCAACCUGCCUUUCAGAGGGGGAUAACGGCUGGAAACGGUCGCUAAUACCGCAUGACAUAUUCGGAUGGCAUCGUCUGAAUAUCAAAGGAGCAAUCCGCUGAAAGAUGGGCUCGCGUCUGAUUAGAUAGUUGGUGAGGUAACGGCUCACCAAGUCGACGAUCAGUAGCCGGACUGAGAGGUUGAACGGCCACAUUGGGACUGAGAUACGGCCCAAACUCCUACGGGAGGCANCAGUGGGGAAUAUUGCACAAUGGGGGAAACCCUGAUGCAGCAACGCCGCGUGAAGGAAGA
rnacentral:rRNA from 1 species